GCUGGCAUGGCGCAAUCGGUAGCGCAGCGCUCUUGUAAAGCGAAGGUUGCGGGUUCGAGUCCCGCUGCCAGCUCCA
rnacentral:tRNA from 1 species